UCCUUCGUGGCGCAAUUGGUUUAGCGCGUCUGACUGUUAAUCAGGAGGUUGAAAGUUCGAGUCUUUCCGGAGGAG
rnacentral:tRNA from 1 species